GCCAACGAGAAUUCGAAUUCAAAACAAGCCCACUGCCUAAAAGACGGGAAAACGCGGCUGACCACGUCUAGAUUGGCUUUGGUUAUCAAUCUGAUUGGUCGAGAAAGUAGUGCAAGGUUUCCUGGACCAAUCACGUAACGAAAAAUUCCAUUGCUUCCUUGUCAAAGCAGUUUCUUCGCGGAAUAGGAUCCACUGGAAAUGGAUACACGCCACGGAACUUAGGCGGCUCAUUCACGUGGAAAUGAGCUACAGUCACUGAAGAGGACACUUUCUUCCGAUCCUGAAGUUGCCUCUUGAAAAGUGGUUUCACUACAUUUAUAGCAAGAGACAUAGACGCUCAGAGCCA